GACGAACGCUGGCGGCGUGCUUAACACAUGCAAGUCGAGCGGUAAGGCACCUUCGGGUGUACACGAGCGGCGAACGGGUGCGUAACACGUGAGUAAUCUGCCCUCACUUUGGGAUAAGCCCGGGAAAUCGGGUCUAAUACCGGAUAUUCUCUGAUCCACGCAUGUGGGUUGGUGGAAAGCUUUUGUGGUGGAGGAUGGGCUCGCGGCCUAUCAGCUUGUUGGUGGGGUAAUGGCUUACCAAGGCUUUGACGGGUAGCCGGCCUGAGAGGGUGACCGGCCACACUGGGACUGAGACACGGCCCAGACUCCUACGGGAGGCAGCAGUGGGGAAUAUUGGACAAUGGGCGGAAGCCUGAUCCAGCAACGCCGCGUGAGGGAUGACGGCCUUCGGGUUGUAAACCUCUUUCAGUACCGACGAAGCGAAAGUGACGGUAGGUACAGAAGAAGCACCGGCCAACUACGUGCCAGCAGCCGCGGUAAUACGUAGGGUGCGAGCGUUGUCCGGAAUUAUUGGGCGUAAAGGGCUCGUAGGCGGUUUGUUGCGUCGGGAGUGAAAACCCAGGGCUUAACUCUGGGCUUGCUUCCGAUACGGGCUGACUAGAGGUAUGCAGGGGAGAACGGAAUUCCUGGUGUAACGGUGAAAUGCGCAGAUAUCAGGAGGAACACCGGUGGCGAAGGCGGUUCUCUGGGCAUUACCUGACGCUGAGGAGCGAAAGUGUGUGGAGCGAACAGGAUUAGAUACCUGGUAGUCCACACCGUAAACGUUGGGCGCUAGGUGUGGGACUCAUUCCACGAGUUCCGUGCCGCAGCUAACGCAUUAAGCGCCCCGCCUGGGGAGUACGGCCGCAAGGCUAAAACUCAAAUGAAUUGACGGG
rnacentral:rRNA from 1 species